AAUAAAUGCAGUCGUCGAAAUCCGUGUUCAACGUUUGAUCGUCCGUCUUAUUUUUUAAAAAAAAUAGUCACACAUAAAGUACUAUUCAUGUUUUAUCAUCUAAUAACAAUAAAAAUAAUAAUCAUAAAAAAAUUUCAAAUAAGACGAACGGUCAAACGUUGAAGAUGAAUAGUGUAAAACUGCACUUAUU
rnacentral:pre_miRNA from 1 species